CCUACGGGUGGCAGCAGUGAGGAAUAUUGGUCAAUGGGCGCGAGCCUGAACCAGCCAAGUAGCGUGAAGGAUGACUGCCCUACGGGUUGUAAACUUCUUUUAUAAAGGAAUAAAGUGCGGCACGUGUGCCUUUUUGUCUUUCCUUUAUGAAUACGGCUCGGCUAACUCAGUGCCAGCAGCCGCGGUAAUACGGAGGUGCCGAGCGUUAUCCGGAUUUAUUGGGUUUAAAGGGAGCGUAGAUGGGUUGUUAAGUCAGUUGUGAAAGUUUGCGGCUCAACCGUAAAAUUGCAAGUGAUACUGGCAGUCUUGAGUACAGGUGAGGUAGGCGGAAUUCGUGGUGUAGCGGUGAAAUGCUUAGAUAUCACGAAGAACUCCGAUUGCGAAGGCAGCUUACUAAACUGCCACUGACAUUGAUGCUCGAAAGUGUGGGGAUCAAACAGGAUUAGAUACCCUUGUAGUC
rnacentral:rRNA from 1 species